rnacentral:rRNA from 1 species
UACUAGAGUAGCACUCGCAUAUCAAUAAGCGGAGGAAAAGAAACUAACAAGGAUUCCCCUAGUAACGGCGAGUGAAGCGGGAAGAGCUCAAAUUUGAAAUCUUAAAGGGUUUCCCUUUACGAAUUGUAGUUUAAAGAAGUGUUUUCUGUUGAGGUUUUGGUAAAAGUUCUUUGGAAUAGGACAUCAUAGAGGGUGAGAAUCCCGUAUUUGACCUUUACUUUCAACUUUGUGAUACACUUUCAAAGAGUCGGAUUGUUUGGGAAUGCAGUCCAAAAUGGGUGGUAAAUUUCAUCUAAAGCUAAAUAUUGGCGAGAGACCGAUAGCGAACAAGUACCGUGAGGGAAAGAUGAAAAGAACUUUGAAAAGAGAGUUAAACAGUACGUGAAAUUGUCAAAAGGGAAGCGUUUGACACCAGUGUUGUUUUUCUGAAAAUCAAUUAAAGAACUGUUUAUGCUAAGCUGUUUAGACUUUAUCAGCUAUCUGUUUAGUUUUGAGCUUUUCUUCAAUGCACUUCUCAGUUAACAAGUCAACAUCAAUUUCUUUUGCUGUAAAAAAGCUUGAGGAAGGUGGCUUGAGAUUCGUCUUAAGUGUUUAUAGCCUCUUGCCUAUGCAGUCGGAGAGAUUGAGGUCUGCAGCGUAGAUCCUUCGGGGCUAAAUGCAUUUGUGCUAAGUUAUAGCAUUUUAUAGACAACUUGUUGACUAUGAUUUGUCUUGUAGCUUACUCGCUUAUGUUAUUUUACCUACGCUUAGGAUGUUGAGCGCAUGUCUCUCUCU